GCUGCAGCUUCUGAGACCGAUCGAGGGAAGGGUGUCGCGAGCUAGAGCCCAACCUGAUUAGUCGCCGUGCUAGAGGAUCCCCAGUUGCAGAUUGAAGUGGAGAGCUCGUGGAGGCCACAGUUGAGCUUGGAGCGACGUCAACUUCGCGCCGGCGAUCUGUUGGAGCGUGUGUGCGUCGUGGUAGUGCCGUUGGAGGCCGAGCGAGCAUGGAAAGUUCUUCUCCUAUCGACUUUUCACUGUUCUGGAUUAGCUUUUGAGAGCCUUCUGUUCCGGCGGCUGCAGCUUCUGAGACCGAUCGAGGGAAGGGUGUCGCGAGCUAGAGCCCUACCUGACUAGUCGCCGUGCUAGAGGAUCCCCAGUUGCAGGUAGUAGAGUUUUAUUUUUCGAUAUUAUGUACAUACUGAUACUGAACUCGCUGGAGCGAGUGGUUUGUACUUUGUAUAGUAUGUAUACAUUUGAGAUGCUUUCUUUUUGGUUCU